CCUACGGGUGGCUGCAGUGAGGAAUAUUGGUCAAUGGGCGCGAGCCUGAACCAGCCAAGUAGCGUGAAUGAUGACUGCCCUACGGGUUGUAAACUUCUUUUAUAAAGGAAUAAAGUGAGUCACGUUUGACUUUUUGUAUGUACUUUAUGAAUAAGGAUCGGCUAACUCCGUGCCAGCAGCCGCGGUAAUACGGAGGAUCCGAGCGUUAUCCGGAUUUCUUUGGUUUAAAGGGAGCGUAGAUGGGUUGUUAAGUCAGUUGUGAAAGUUUGCGGCUCAACCGUAAAAUUGCAAUUGAUACUGGCAGCCUUGAGUGCAGUUGAGGUAGGAGGAAUUCGUGGUGUAUCGGUGAAAUGCUUAGAUAUCACGAAGAACUCCGAUUGCGAAGGCAGCUUACUAAACUGCAACUGACAUUGAUGCUCGAAAGUGUGGGUAUCAAACAGGAUUAGAUACCCGGGUAGUC
rnacentral:rRNA from 1 species